GAUGAACGCUGGCGGCGUGCCUAAUACAUGCAAGUCGAGCGAACAGACGAGGAGCUUGCUCCUCUGACGUUAGCGGCGGACGGGUGAGUAACACGUGGAUAACCUACCUAUAAGACUGGGAUAACUUCGGGAAACCGGAGCUAAUACCGGAUAAUAUAUUGAACCGCAUGGUUCAAUAGUGUAAGACGGUUUUGCUGUCACUUAUAGAUGGAUCCGCGCCGCAUUAGCUAGUUGGUAAGGUAACGGCUUACCAAGGCAACGAUGCGUAGCCGACCUGAGAGGGUGAUCGGCCAGACUGGAACUGAGACACGGUCCAGACUCCGACGGGAGGCAGCAGUAGGGAAUCUUCCGCGAUGGGGGAAAGCCUGACGGAGCAACGCCGCGUGAGUGAUGAAGGUCUUCGGAUCGUAGAACUCUGUUAUUAGGGAGGAACAAAUGUGUAAGUAACUAUGCACGUCUUGACGGUACCUAAUCAGAAAGCCACGGCUAACUACGUG
rnacentral:rRNA from 1 species